GCAGAAGCCAGGAAGGAAAAUCUCAUGCUUUUAAGAACUCUGCUCUGUAAUUGGAUGAAUCUACCUUCUCUGCUUAAAAGUAGAGAAGACAGAUGAAUGAGCUUGAGCUGUACUUUCAAGGCUUACCACAUGUAGCAGUCUGAAGGGGAUCUGUGGAGUUUGUCUUGAGAAAAUACCACUGUUUGGGAACUAUUCCAGCUCCCAGAUGCUGAGCAUUUUGCUGUUGACCUCAGGUGCUGAAUUAACAUGAUGCAACCCAGAGAUGCAAGGGAUUUCUUUCAUUAACAGUGCUGUGAUGCUAGUGAGAACAGAAGAUGUGUUUCCUAGACAACCACCAUCACUCUUUAGGUUUCAUGUGGGUUGGUGAGUUGAAUUGCCUCAUGGAGAGUCGCGGGAGCUGAAGGCUGACACAAGUUGAGCAACAAAGUGGGAGAAGAAGGGGGGAGAGUUGGGCUUGCUCAAAAUCCAGCAACACCUCUUUCACUAAUUGGAUACUAGGAGCUUUAAAUACUGUCACUUAUCUAACCUUUUACAAUUAAUAUUAAUGGAAAUUAAUUACCAGGAAAAAGGAGGUGUUCUACUGUCAUCAUUAGGAAGAUGUGGAACAGUUUAUCAUGAAAACUAUUUACUGGCAUGUGAAGAACAGAAGUUUGAUUGUAAACAUCCAGUGUGGAUCUACCAAGAGCAAAUUGUGCUGGACCAACCUGGAUUGACUGUUACGGUGAAGUGACACUGCUGUGCACGAAGAGCCUGUGACUUUGUCCUCAAGACUCAAGCCUGAAGAAAACAUCCAGCUUGAAUCUUAUUUCUAUCUUUCUAUCAAAAACCUGGUGCUUGGUCACCAGGCCUCACCUCCUUCCAAAGAUGCUGUGUGGGGAAGUAGCGCCUGGCUGAGCAGGGCUCCCUCUGACCUUCCUUCUACUCCUGCCUAGAAGUGGCCAGCAUCCCACAUCUGCCCCACACCUGGAUGAUGUAAAAGAGGAGAACCUUAAUUAGCGAACAUGGAAGCUGUUUGUUUUCCUUCCCCUCGUGACCAAUUCCUUCAGCAGGGAGGCCAUCAGUGGAGACCUCCUCUCAGCUGUCCUACAACCAUUCAAGCACGAGACUGGGACAUGCCAAAGUUCAACUGAGCUCCAGGAGUUACCGAGGAAAAAAAGAAGCAUAUGGCCACCAGUGAAAUCUAAAGGGCCAAAGAGAAUAACUAGGGUUUAUGCAUAAAAGCUGGAUAGAACCGAGCUCUCUCACAUGGGUCAGGUUGAUGGUUGGGCUCAAUGUUCUUGAAGUUCUUUUCCAGCCUAGAUGAUUCUAGGGCUUAUGCAAUUUGUGAUGAGCCAAGCAAAGACCUUUCUCCCAGUCAGCAUUAUGUAAAAUGGUUGCAUUCACAGCUUGAGACCGUUUUCUUCCUGAGCUGGGAUUCCUUAGGUGAUCAAAUGCACUGUUAAAGAGACGGAAAGCAGCCUGUUCCAUCCCUUGACUGUUAUGGUAUAGCAAAUAUUAUGUAUAACUGACUGAUUUUUGUGAGAGCCAUGAAAAGUGUAUGAGCUUGCAAAAGGUUUAUGUAUGUUUUAUAGCUGAAACAACCAUGAGAGUAAAACUACAUUGUUUUACUCUUUCAUGCUUCCUUUCUGCUUUUAGAUCACGUUGCCCGUGAAGUCAAGCGGGAGGUUCUUAAUUUCUGCAAAUGUCUCUGGGAAAAUGUAGCACUACAGUUAUGUAUUUACGAAAUGGCAUUAAGUACGUUGUAAAUUCUAUCAAUCAAACUGAAUGUUGCCAAAUGGGAUAUUAUGUUUGUUAAUGAAACAUGUUUCCCAUUCACACUCCCUAAUGGAGCAGGAAACAGAGACUACAGCACCUUUUCUGUAAUUCCCUGCAGCCAGAAUUUUGUUUCCCAGAACUAACUCCACUGGGGGUGUUCCACCAUUGGAUCACUCCAUCUUAUUUCCAGUACAAUGGGAUUUUCAGCAAUGAUAAUUAUGCUUUGAAAAUGCUAAGUGACAAGCUCAUAGCUGGUAUAAAGCAAUUCAAAUGAACCUAUGCUAGUUUCAUGUCAUAGCCACUGUGUGCAUGUAGUAGAAAAGCAAAAGCUUUAAGCCCUGUGAACAUUUCUUUUUAAUUAGAAACAUUGCUACGGAAAAGGCAUAACUUCUCUAUUUCUUUUCUAUUUUUUUUUUAAUCCGCAAGUAAAUGGAUGUUGGACUAGGAUGAUCCUUUGUGAUCAGAAAGUUCAGUAUGAUCUUACUAAAUGUAGAAAUACUUUGAAAGUGGAUAGUCUUGCAGAUCUCAAUAGCUUUGAAAGCCUGGCAAGCUAUGGCUCCUAAAAAUUGGAAGCCAAUAAUGUGAAAGCAUGUAAAUUGUAUACCAGGUAGGAGAAAACCACCUUCUGAUUUGUAAAAAAUCAUGGUUUUUUGUCUAAAUUAAAAAAAAAAAAAAAAAAAAGAAAAAACCUGCUGAGAACUGGCUGCAUCACUAACUCUAAGGAUUUAUGUUAUAUAGAUCCAUUUCCAUGCGAGGCUUUAAAUGUUAUACUGCUCUAAAUUAGCUAAGGAUUACUUCAUCCUCUAAAUUAGGUGAGGAUUGGUUUGUCCUCAGACAGCCUUGUGACAAAAGGAAUGUAUUUCCAGUCAUUACGGUAAUCUGCUACAAUAAAUUGAAAAUUAAACUUCAUGCAUUACUCUAUCCCUGAAACAAACACAGUAAUCAUUUACCUUGUCACUGACAUUCUAGUAGUUACAAUUUGAUUUAAAUACUGAAUUAGCAACACUUAAUUUUUUUAUAUUAAAAAUAAGAAAAUAAAUCUGAAAAUAGAAAUCACCAUAAUGAGACUUUUUUUUUAAUGUAGAAAAGGUGCUGUGCAUCAAAUGAAGUGAAAUACAUUUCCAUCACUUUUAACUUAGGAAAAGCUUCAUUUUCCACUCAUAAAUAGAAUUUUUGCCUGUCGUCUUAGGAAAAUACGCACUGUAAUAAAUAUCUUAAUUUGCUUAUUAUAGUUUUAUUGUCUGCAUUUGAAAAUAUGAAGGCUACUCUGAAAGUAAUGCCUCCUAUUUCACUGUGUUGGCCUAUGACAUCAGAGGCAGAUGUUGGUGUUAUUGUAGUAGAGGCUGAAUCUUCCUAACAAUAUUUCAUUACAUUUUGUUGCUGCGUGACCAACAGUAGCAGAGGGACAUUCUGGCAUAGUCGCAUCUGACAUGGAAGUGCAGUGUGUCAUUUAAUUCCUCCAUGUGAAAAAAUUGGCAAUCAUUGAUAUUCACUGAUACUUGCUAAACCGAAGACCGAACAGUGGAUGUGAGCCUCACCACAGUGAGGUGGUGGGUGGUGCAUUUCAGCAGUGGUAACAGUGAUGUAGAAGAGAAGUCGUGUUUCGGAUGGCCAUGAACAGCUCUCAUACCAUGAAAUGAAGAGCAUCUUGAUCAACUCAUCUGUGCAAAUCAGCAGAUUAUAACCAGGGAAUGGUGUACAGAGCUGAAUAUUAUCUUCAAUGCAUUGGAAACAGCGAUGGCAAUAUUGGACUAUCACAAAACUCGUGCCAUGUGGGUCCCAUGAGUGCUCACAUAGGAACAGAAAAAACACUGAAUACAGGUUUGUCAGGACCUCAUGAACCAAUAUGAGGCUGAAGAUGAUUGUUUCCUGGAUCACAUCAUUACUAGUGAUGAAACAUACGUGUUGUCACUACCACGAGCUGGAGUUUGGACUUCUUUUCUGUUGUAUAGAGCUGCCAUUCAGACUGCAUGAGUGAAAAGAAUGUUAAAACAUACCAUACCAGGUGAUGUUGGAAGAGUAUACACCCAGGAAAUAUCCAAGUUAUCCCCAAAUAACCUGAACAUCCAAAUGUUUCCAUUUAUCACUAAGAAAGUUGUGAGAAAGGACCAAACAGUAGUUUUUUAUAUGUUUGUUUUUGGUUUUGUUUUGAUAAAGUUGUUAUAGCAGC
ensembl:lncRNA